CUGUCUAUACUUCAUAGGAUCAAUUCUAUAGCAUGAUUCCCGAGUUCCUCGACCGAAACUUGGAAUGAAUCAGACACUGUGAUGACGGAGCUACGUGCGAGCCUCAGAGAGGGAAGCAGUUCAAGUUCCCUGACCUAGAUCUUCGAUGACGGUUCACUCCCCGUUUACCACGUGUGAGGAACCUUGCACAGGCUGAGCAGU